rnacentral:lncRNA from 1 species
UUAAUUUCAGGAUCAACAGCAGUGACUACACCUUUCUCUUCAACCCCAGUUUCUACACUUUUCACUUCAACACCAGUGUCUACAUCUUUCUCAACACCACCAGUGUCUCCACAUUUCUCUUCAACGCCGGUGUCUGCAGCUUUCUCUUCAACGCCGGUGUCUACAGCUUUCUCUUCAAAGUCGGUGUCUGCAAUUUUCUCUUCAAGGCCGGUGUCUGCACCUUUCUCUUCAACAGCGUCUCUACUUUUCUCUUCGACACUGUCUCCACCUUUCUCUUCAAUGAUAUUGCCAGCACCUUUCCCUUCAACGCCAGUGUCUGCACCUUUCCCUUCAACGCCAGUGUCAUGCUUCUUUUU